CAUGGCUCAGGACGAACGCUGGCGGCGUGCCUAAUACAUGCAAGUCGAGCGGACAGAAGGGAGCUUGCUCCCGGAAGUCAGCGGCGGACGGGUGAGUAACACGUAGGUAACCUGCCCCUUAGACUGGGAUAACUCCGGGAAACCGGAGCUAAUACGGGAUAAUAAAGAGAAUCACCUGAUUCUCUUUUGAAAGACGGUUUCGGCUGUCACUAAGGGAUGGGCCUGCGGCGCAUUAGCUAGUUGGUAAGGUAACGGCUUACCAAGGCGACGAUGCGUAGCCGACCUGAGAGGGUGAUCGGCCACACUGGGACUGAGACACGGCCCAGACUCCUACGGGAGGCAGCAGUAGGGAAUCUUCCGCAAUGGACGAAAGUCUGACGGAGCAACGCCGCGUGAGUGAGGAAGGCCUUCGGGUCGUAAAGCUCUGUUGUGAGGGAAGAACAAGUACCGGCGUAACUACCGGUACCUUGACGGUACCUCACCAGAAAGCCACGGCUAACUACGUGCCAGCAGCCGCGGUAAUACGUAGGUGGCAAGCGUUGUCCGGAAUUAU
rnacentral:rRNA from 2 species